rnacentral:lncRNA from 1 species
UGCUUUGAAGACGAGCAUCACUCAUAAUAUAGCUUUUUUGAUAUCUUUUCAAAUGGCCAGUUCCUCCACUACUAGCACAACUAUACAAUUUAGUACAUUUUUUACAUUUUGCUUUUAAAACUUUAUCUACCAUAACUCUUUCAAAAUCAUUCCAUACGGCACUAGUUCUCUUACGAGAAGAAGAGGCAGAGCCUUCACGUUCAGUAUUGAUUUCAAAAAGAGGAGGAAUAGUAGUUUCUUUUCCCUCUGAAAUUGAAAAAAUGCCAAAAUAACUCUCAUCAUAAGAUACCAUAUCUA